rnacentral:rRNA from 1 species
GAUGAACGCUGGCGGCGUGCCUAAUACAUGCAAGUCGAGCGAACAGACGAGGAGCUUGCUCCUCUGACGUUAGCGGCGGACGGGUGAGUAACACGUGGAUAACCUACCUAUAAGACUGGGAUAACUUCGGGAAACCGGAGCUAAUACCGGAUAAUAUAUUGAACCACAUGGUUCAAUAGUGAAAGACGGUUUUGCUGUCACUUAUAGAUGGAUCCGCGCCGCAUUAGCUAGUUGGUAAGGUAACGGCUUACCAAGGCAACGAUGCGUAGCCGACCUGAGAGGGUGAUCGGCCACACUGGAACUGAGACACGGUCCAGACUCCUACGGGAGGCAGCAGUAGGGAAUCUUCCGCAAUGGGCGAAAGCUUGACGGAGCAACGCCGCGUGAGUGAUGAAGGUCUUCGGAUCGUAAAACUCUGUUAUUAGGGAAGAACAAAUGUGUAAGCAACUAUGCACGUCUUGACGGUACCUAAUCAGAAAGCCACGGCUAACUACGUG